UACGAAGGGGGCUAGCGUUGCUCGGAAUCACUGGGCGUAAAGCGCACGUAGGCGGAUUGUUAAGUCAGGGGUGAAAUCCUGGAGCUCAACUCCAGAACUGCCUUUGAUACUGGCGAUCUUGAGUCCGGGAGAGGUGAGUGGAACUGCGAGUGUAGAGGUGAAAUUCGUAGAUAUUCGGAAAGAACACCAGUGGCGAAGGCGGCUCUCUGGGACGGUACUGACGCUGAGACGCGAAAGCGUGGGGAGCGAACAGG
rnacentral:rRNA from 1 species